rnacentral:rRNA from 1 species
AUUGAACGCUGGCGGCAGGCCUAACACAUGCAAGUCGAACGAGUGGCGGACGGGUGAGUAAUGUCUGGGAAACUGCCCGAUGGAGGGGGAUAACUACUGGAAACGGUAGCUAAUACCGCAUACCAUCAGAUGUUCCCAGAUGUGAUUAGCUAGUAGGUGGGGUAACGGCUCACCUAGGCGAAGAUCCCUAGCUGUUCUGAGAGGAUUACCAGCCACACUGGAACUGAGCAACGGUCCAUACUCCUACGUGAGGCAGCAGUGGGGAAUAUUGCACAAUGGGCGCAAGCCUGAUGCAGCCAUGCCGCGUGUAUGAAGAAGGCCUUCGGGUUGUAAAGUACUUUCAGCGAGGAGGCGUUACUCGCAGAAGAAGCACCGGCUAACUCCGUGCCAGCAGCCGCGGUAAUUC